UUUAUAUUCUCAAUAAUUUCAACGAGACAAAUUACAAUGAACCAUCUCAGCCAUGUUUAAGAAGGGUAUUCAAAUGAUGAUCAAAUUUCUACCAAAGCAAUUAAAACAUACUCCAGCAAGGAAAUAUCAGAAGGACCCCUGGCAAGGUCAAAAAUUCAAAAUUAAAAUUGUAGGACUGGCAGCCUGUUACAAGCAAUUUUUCUCAACCAUUUGGCUAUGGACCAAUGAUGUUUUGAAUUGAAUGCUAUGCUAAGUUAGAAAAGUAGAAUUGUGAACUAGAUAGAUUGCUAACUGAAAGGAAUGAUAAAAAAAAAAAAAAUCAAGUUAGUUAAGCUCUGCUUUGUCGUGUUCUUUCAGUUAUUUGUCUUGUAUUUUUAGGAGUCCAGGGCAACGGCUUCAGGAAGCGGACGCAGUUGAAGAGAUGCCAUCUGGGCUUUAAGUGCAAUGUGGGAUGGACCAGCCAACAUCUCCUUGAAAAUCCCUUUUCCUACAAUUCCAAGUACCUUCCUCACUUCAUUCGCUAGCCCAAUCACCAUAUCAUCCUCAUGCCCAAUAUCAUACAUGGCUUUCUCUAGCAGGAACAGAUAGUCUCUGUUGUUCCCGCAAGGUCCAUAUGCAGUCGCAAUUUGCCUAGCCAUUUCAUCCAAAGGGGCAGGCCCCAAGUAGUACUUGUUUGAAAUUUUAUCCGGAGUGGAGGUGAAAACUAUGACUCCUGCUAUAGCAGGCUCUGAUGGAUCCGCUUCCUUGUAAAAGUCUACCAGGGAUUUUUUAUCAUAUUCACAUUCUCUCCGCUCCAGAUACUCCAUUGCCAGUCUUUCCUUUUCAGGUCCUCCACGAACACAAUAAGCAGCACCCCAGCAAACAGCUCCUUCAAAAUUUUCCAAUGUGCAAGUUCUUGCAGGACGAUCAGGUGUACCUCUGUGAUCAAUGCAAGCAAGAUCAAAUACACGCCUAUAAUCCUUGAUGAAGCCUAUAACUUUCUCAUCGUAUUCAAAUCCUGGGUUCCACACCAAUGAACCAUAGCCAAAAACCCAGAACACCAUCUCUAUAUACCUCAAGAAGAUCGACAAGCGCCCCUAAAAAGGAAUCGGCGAGGAAGUGUAGGUAGAUAUUCGCCGAUCUGGAGGAGCAAGCUGAAAUAUUGAAGAUUGCGAAGGUAAUAAGCGAUAAAGAGAACAAGGAAAGAGAGAAAUAAAAGCUAAACGAUGAAGGUUUAGCUUAGAUUUCAGGAUUCUCUCUUUCUUUCUGUUAAUCCUCUCGAAGUCUCCGUGCUUUAUCCAGGUUUCGACGGGUUGGCCAGGAU
rnacentral:misc_RNA from 1 species